UGAGGAAUUUUGCGCAAUGGGGGCAACCCUGACGCAGCGACGCCGCGUGGACGAGGAAGGCCUUCGGGUCGUAAAGUCCUGUCAGUGGGGACGAUAAUGACGGUACCUGCUGAGGAAGCUCCGGCUGACUCCGUGCCAGCAGCCGCGGUAAAACGGGGGAGCAAGCGUUGUCCGGAAUUACUGGGCGUAAAGAGCUCGUAGGCGGGGUUUUAAGUCCGGAAGUAAAUCCGCCGGCUCAACUGGCGAAUCAUUCUGGAUACUGGGACUCUUGAGGACAGGAGAGGAAAGCGGAAUUCCUAGUGUAGCGGUGAAAUGCGUAGAUAUUAGGAGGAACACCAGUGGCGAAGGCGGCUUUCUGGCCUGGUCCUGACGCUGAGGAGCGAAAGCCAGGGGAGCGAAC
rnacentral:rRNA from 1 species